rnacentral:sRNA from 1 species
GCUAGGUGCAGUGGUGCAUGCCUGUAAUCCCAGUGGCUCAGGAAGCUGAGGCAGGAGAAUUGCAAGUUCAAGGUCAGCCUCAACAAUUUAGCUUGGCCCUGAGUAAUGUAAGGAGACCCUGUCUCUA